rnacentral:rRNA from 1 species
AGCGAACGUUAGCGGCGGGCUUAACACAUGCAAGUCGAGCGAGAAAGGGGCUUCGGCCCUGAGUACAGCGGCGGACGGGUGAAUAACACGUAGGUAACCUUCCUUCCAGCGGGGGACAACGGUCCGAAAGGACCGCUAAUACCGCAUACGUUCCCUGGGACCCUGGUCCCGGGGAGGAAAGCUCCGCAAGGGGCACUGGAUGAGGGGCCUGCGUAGCAUCAGCUAGUUGGUGGGGUAAUGGCCUACCAAGGCUAAGACGCUUAGCUGGUCUGAGAGGAUGAUCAGCCACACUGGGACUGAGACAGGCCCAGACUCCUACGGGAGGCAGCAGUGGGGAAUAUUGGACAAUGGGCGCAAGCCUGAUCCAGCCACGCCGCGUGAGUGAUGAAGGCCUU